AAGUCGUAACAAGGUUUCCGUAGGUGAACCUGCGGAAGGAUCAUUAAAGGUUUCGGGUACCCAGUGCCCAAACUUCAACCCUAUGUUUUAACUAUACAUGUUUCUUUGCCGGUUUCGGCCGGCAGAAGUUUUCUCAAACUCAUUAUAAAUGUGGCUUCUGAAUCAAAAUUAAAUAAAUUAAAACUUUCAACAACGGAUCUCUUGGUUCUGGCAUCGAUGAAGAACGCAGCGAAAUGCGAUAAGUAAUGUGAAUUGCAGAAUUCAGUGAAUCAUCGAAUCUUUGAACGCAUAUUGCGCCCUUUGGCAUUCCGAAGGGCAUACCUGUUCGAGCGUCAUUACACCCCUCAAAGAUAACACUUUGGCGUUGGGCAAUGCCUAAAGGCAUGCCUCAAAAUCAGCGAUGGUGAUAUUCAACCACAGGCGCACAAACGUCGUCUAGCUGGCGGGAUGUUGUCAGUCAAUUGAUGAAUUUCUAAUGUUGACCUCGGAUCAGGUAGGAAUACCCGCUGAACUUAAGCAUAUCAAUAAGCGGAGGAAAAGAAACCAACAGGGAUUGCCUCAGUAACGGCGAGUGAAGCGGCAAAAGCUCAAAUUUGAAAUCUGACCCUUCGGGUCCGAGUUGUAAUUUGCAGAGGAUGUUUCGGGUAAGAUUUAGGUCUAAGUUCCUUGGAACAGGACGUCAUAGAGGGUGAGAACCCCGUACGUGACCGUUGAUCGCACCCAUGUGAAACUCCUUCGACGAGUCGAGUUGUUUGGGAAUGCAGCUCAAAAUGGGUGGUAAAUUUCAUCUAAAGCUAAAUAUUGGCCAGAGACCGAUAGCGCACAAGUAGAGUGAUCGAAAGAUGAAAAGCACUUUGAAAAGAGAGUUAAACAGUAUGUGAAAUUGUUGAAAGGGAAGCGCUUGCAACCAGACUUGUUUAUAGGGUUCAGCCGUCGUUUUCGUCGGUGUAUUUCCCUAUUAUCAGGCCAGCAUCAGUUUAGGUGGAAGGUCAAAGGCCUUGGGAAUGUAUCAUCCUCCGGGAUGUCUUAUAGCCCUCGGUGUAAUGCUUCCCUCCCGGACUGAGGAACGCGCUUUUGCUCGGAUGCUGGCGUAAUGGUUGUAAGCGACC
rnacentral:rRNA from 1 species